CUCCAGUCAAGCUCGGGUCGCCUCUCAGAGCCACGCGGAACUGAGAGAAAAGAGUGAGGGACUCAAGAAGAUUCUGAAACCCCAACAGAGACCUGGCUUGUCCGAUGCUGAAGCAACAGCGUCUCCUCGGGGCCACCUGUUCCCGAGGGUUGAUGUGGCCGCACCAAGCAUGACAAAGGAAACGUUUCCUUCGGAAGCUUAGAUGGGUUCUUCGACCUCCAGAGAGAAUUAAAGGAGCAAAGCCAUCAAGUCUAGCAAAUCCAGUGAAGGCUAGGUUUUGAAUUCAAAUGACCACAGGAUGCUACGUGACUCUAAGAGAUGCCAAAGGCAUCUAAGGAAAAAAAAAUUAAGAUCAAGCCAAAACUCCCAAUGCUUUGAUGUGACAACCCUUUAAGAAAAAUUUUCCAGACUCGGGACAAUGCUUGGACAGAGUAGAUGCUCAAUAAAUACAUAUCGAUGAGGAAAUAGGAGAAAAUAAAAGCACACUCCUACAGCCACCCGCUCAUAAGCUCCAGUCUGUCCCUUACACACACACUGCACAGUUUUAAAAUUUUCCAUAUUCAGAGGAUGAAUGGUUUUCUACUUGGAAAAGGUGCCAGAUAAGAGGAAAAAUUUUAAUUAUUCAGUAAAAUUAUGAAAACUUCCCUAAAAGGUAAAUAAGCUAUUUCAAAGAGAGUAGAAUUAAAUGUAUAGGAGUGAUCGUGUAAAAACAAAUGGUUAAUAAAAGUGUAAACAUAUUUCUCAUUUCUAUUAUUAAUAUAAACACCUUAUCUCUCUGAAAUUAUCCUGGAAAAAAGGAAAGAAAAUUAAUUAACUUUGGCUUAAAGACCUUAAUGUCCCUGCUGAGUUAUUAGUUAAGACAAAGUUAGGAAAAUUGACAUUAGACAAGAAAUAGUAAUCAUAAAAAGGUCAAAGACACUUUGGGAGGCCAAGGUGGGAGCAUUGCUUGAGGCCAGGAGUUUGAGACCAACCUGGGCAACAAAGUGAGACUCCAUCUCUACAAAAAGUAGAAAAAUU
rnacentral:lncRNA from 10 species